GAUCGACUGGCCCAGUGGUUAAGGCGUCCGCGUAUGUUACCCCGCACCCCACUGUUGCCGUCUGCUCUAACACCCAAACUAGCUUACAAACAGUAUCGCGGAAAAUCGCAGGUUCGAACCCUGCGUCGAUCA